GAUUUCUGGUUUGGUAUGCCUGACCCGGUGUGGUUACACAUUCGUGUGUCGGUGCGUGCCUGCCAUCCUUCUAGAACACUAUGGAUCAUUCUUCAUUGGGUGUGUCUAUAGUCGUACUAGAUCUUUUACUUUGAAAAAAUUAGAGUGUUUAAAGCAGGCAGUGUUUGCUAUGAAUACAUUAGCAUGGAAUAAUAAUCUAGGACUUCGGUUCUAUUUUGUUGGUUUCUAUAACUGAAGUAAUGAUUGAUAGGGAUAGUUGGGGGUGCUAGUAUUGGCCGGCCAGAGGUGAAAUUCUUGGAUUCGGUCAAGACUAACUUAUGCGAAAGCAUU
rnacentral:rRNA from 1 species